rnacentral:rRNA from 1 species
GACGAACGCUGGCGGCGUGCUUAACACAUGCGAGUCGAACGGAAAGGCCCUGCUUUUGUGGGGUGCUCGAGUGGCGAACGGGUGAGUAACACGUGAGUAACCUGCCCUUGACUUUGGGAUAACUUCAGGAAACUGGGGCUAAUACCGGAUAGGAGCUCCUGCUGCAUGGUGGGGGUUGGAAAGUUUCGGCGGUUGGGGAUGGACUCGCGGCUUAUCAGCUUGUUGGUGGGGUAGUGGCUUACCAAGGCUUUGACGGGUAGCCGGCCUGAGAGGGUGACCGGCCGCCUGGCGCGUGCGGGCCGCGCCGGACGCCGGCGGGAGCGCGGCGUGGGGAAUCUCGAACGGCGGGGCGAAGCCUGUGCCGCCCCCGCGUGGGGCGGGUUGCACGCCUUCGGUUGACCCCCCGCUUCUGCCCGGGCGGAGGUGGGAUGUCCGUGAAUGGGAAACGACCCCCCGGCUAACCCCCUGCCAGCGCCCGCGGAAUAAUCGGACGCGACAACGUCUGUCC